CCUACGGGAGGCAGCAGUGGGGAAUCUUGCGCAAUGGGCGAAAGCCUGACGCAGCCAUGCCGCGUGAAUGAUGAAGGUCUUAGGAUUGUAAAAUUCUUUCACCGGGGACGAUAAUGACGGUACCCGGAGAAGAAGCCCCGGCUAACUUCGUGCCAGCAGCCGCGGUAAUACGAAGGGGGCUAGCGUUGCUCGGAAUUACUGGGCGUAAAGGGAGCGUAGGCGGAUAGUUUAGUCAGAGGUGAAAGCCCAGGGCUCAACCUUGGAAUUGCCUUUGAUACUGGCUAUCUUGAGUAUGGGAGAGGUAUGCGGAACUCCGAGUGUAGAGGUGAAAUUCGUAGAUAUUCGGAAGAACACCAGUGGCGAAGGCGGCAUACUGGCCCAUUACUGACGCUGAGGCUCGAAAGCGUGGGGAGCAAACAGGAUUAGAUACCCUGGUAGUCCACGCUGUAAACGAUGAGUGCUAGUUGUCGGCAUGCAUGCAUGUCGGUGACGCAGCUAACGCAUUAAGCACCNCCGCCGUCGGGAGGUACGGUCGCGAGAAUUAAACUAACGAAAGAAGUAGACGGCGUGAGACGUGCCGACGGACGACGACGAGGGAGGAGG
rnacentral:rRNA from 1 species